rnacentral:tRNA from 1 species
GUACCCGUGGCUCAAUUGGAUAGAGCAUCUGACUACGGAUCAGAAGGUUGGGGGUUCGAGUCCCUCCGGGUACGCCA